GAGAAACACGUCAUUUCUGAGUUUUGUGUAAACGAGUCAUUAGCAGAGACGUUUCUGUCUAUGAUUUUGGAGAAGAUCAAGGUGGAGAGAGGGUUUAUGGGACAUGAUCUCCUGCAGUCUCUCUGUAGGGUUUAUGUAGGCGUGUGUCAACAGAGAGGAGACUCUCACAAAGCACAUGCUCUCGCCUACAGACUCCUUAAAGAAGAGUUUCUUGAAGCCCCCAAAGUGAUUAUGGUCAUGAUCACAGCAUGGCCAAGUAUUUUGUCCCAUGAAAGUGUUUUAUGCCGAUCAAUUCACGUAGUGAGCAACCUGAAAGCAAAGGAAAGA